UACGAAGGGGGCUAGCGUUGCUCGGAAUCACUGGGCGUAAAGCGCACGUAGGCGGACUCUUAAGUCGGUGGUGAAAUCCUGGAGCUCAACUCCAGAACUGCCUUCGAUACUGAGAGUCUCGAGUCCGGGAGAGGUGAGUGGAACUGCGAGUGUAGCGGUGAAAUGCGUAGAGAUCGGGAGGAACACCAGUGGCGAAGGCGGCCCGCUGGGCAGUGGCUGACGCUGAGGCGCGACAGCGUGGGGAGCAAACAGG
rnacentral:rRNA from 1 species